AUUGUUAUCAGAACUAUGUAUUGAAUUUCAAACAGAUUUUGGUUAAACCCUGUACCUUGAAACUGACAACAGGACCAUGUAAAGUUCAGACAGACAUCAAAUCUGAGGAAUGUAUAUUUAAUGAGAGUAAUACUGCCAUCUAGUGGACGAUGGAGAUGGUUCAGUUUGUAAUUAAAAUACAUUGGCUUCACUGGUAAGCUAUGUUAACUGUUAUACAAAUGAUUUAUACUUGUGAACUCUUAAAUGUACAAAAAUAGAAAAUGUAAGGUAUUAAAAGCCUUAAAUAAAUCACUUAAAAUUAAGUAAUUUAUCAUUUUAGGAAAUGGAUUAAAAUCGAAUCAAUUCAUUAGAAUGAUAAUUAUGGGACUUGUGUGAUUUAUUUUGGUACUGCAUUGUGUAAAAUCACAUCAGGACAUAGAAAUGUGAUUAUUAAGUGAAAAUGAAUAACUUAGGAAAAAUUAUUUCACAAAAGAGUAUUUUUAACUGAAUGCAUUUUCUGUGAUUUAUGAUCUUUUGUUCAAAUGAAAAUGGGGAGGUGUCUUUUUGAUGAAGUUAUGAUGUCAUCUGUUUACAUUCAAAGCAGCCAAUAAAAUUACCUGAUGGAGAGUUUACCAAUGGAAUGACUAGCAGUAAGGAAAUAUAAAACACAACUGCUGUAGCCUGUAACAAAAAGAGGAAACCCCUUGGUGUGUGGUUCUGUUGCAUUGUGGGACAUGGAGUCCUGAAGAAAGAGCGGUCUUGUUUUAGAGGACUACAAACUGAAGAUCAGGUUUCUAAACGGAAUCACUUUUUAACCACGAGGAGAAAGCUGUAUACAUUGAUUCUUCAUUGCGAGACUGUUUCAACUGUCUUCACAUAUAAGGACUGUGGGACAUGGUUUGGUGUGAUGAUAGGAACCAUUGUAUUUGGCAGCUUCUCAGAUAAGUAAUUUUUAUAUUGUACUGCUUCUUUUUAAUGUAAAACAUUCCUCUACCACCCUUGAAAAUGUAUGUAUAUUACUGUCAUUUUGAGUUUUUUAUUCAUUUUGUCACCUGACACUUAAUAAAAAAAAAACACCUCUCACCAAUGACAUACACGUUUUGUCAAAAUAUUUACUUUUUUUUUUUUUACUUUUUGCUUGUUUACAUGUAAUUACCUGUAAGGGUGAUCAAAAAGAUUUGAGCUUGACUAGAGUGUGUUUGGGAAUUGUAAACUUGGUUGCUUUUCUGCAAAGGAGAAUCCGCCCCUAACCAAAAUGUCAUCAGCAAGCGCAUAAAAGCUCUGUGUGUUAUUCUUUCAUGUCACUUCUUUUUGUUUCAGCUGCUCAGUCAAGCGCUGGGAGGCCAAAACGGGAGUUGACCGCUUAGAGUCUGGAGGAAGGGCUGCCCUCAGCCACGGAUUCCCUGAGGUUUCCCCUAAAAAAUUAAAAAUGGUCGCGGUGAGCCGGAGCCUAACCCGGCAUACACUGGGCGCAAGGCGAGAGUACACCCUGGACGGGACGCCAGUCCAUCGCAGGGCACCACACACACACACACACACAGAGGGCAAUUUAGAGUGACCAAUCAACCGGGACAGCCUGUCUUUGGACUGUGGGAGGAAACCGGAGUACCCGGAGAAAACCCACACGAACACAGGGAGAACAUGCAAACUCCACACAGACAGUACCCUAGGAUGGAUUCAAACCUAGGACCCUGGUGCUGUGAGGCAGCAGCGCAAACCACUACGCCACCGUGCCCCCCUAAAGCUCUAUUUACUUGUUUUAAAUAUUCAUUGGAUUUCCUUUUGCUAUAGGGUUUCAAUUGCCUGAAUGUUGCUGGCCACAGUAAGGUCAACUGGCUAUUUCUGGAAAAUAGUGCCCACUAGUGGUUACUUGUGAUAGUGAGCAGAGUUUCUGAUCCUGACACUCCGCAUUGAUCACUUUCAUCCCUUAAAAUGAUUAGAAUAUUUAUAAAAUCAUGUAUGUAAGCUAUGCAGAACAUAAAUAAGACAUUUUGUCCUGUGGGCCUGUAGUGCUACUGACAGGCUCUGCCAUUACGUUUUUUUUUUUUUUUGUCCAAGAUAUUUAUAAUGUGCAUAUUAUAGAAUAAAGAUGGAUACAUAGGAUAAAUCUUGUACAGUACAGUAGUUCUCCAGAUAUUGCUGUCAGUAGCUCAGCCAAUUAUCUGUAUCAUCUAGGUAGAUUUAAAAUACAACAAAUGUCUGUGUUUGCUAGUAAUGUAAAACAACUAUAUAUAUAUAUAUAUAUAUAUAUAUAUAUAUAUAUAUAUAUAUAUAUAUAUAUAUAAAAUAUAUAAAAAUUUACUUCUCAUAAAAUGAGCAUAAUGCUGGUCGUUCAGUCUCUCUCAAGCAAGACUGGAAUGUAGUCAAUGUUACAAAAUGACCAUGCAAGUCUGACAAGUUGAUCAGACUCAUCUGGAUUACUAGUUAACUAAUAAAGACACUUUGGUUGAUUUAG